GUUAGUAGAAAAAAAAAAAUAUAAGAAAAAUAAUUGUUUAGAAUACACAGCUCACUUUGAAACUUUCCGAUUUAAGGCAAAAUAAAAAACUCUGAUCUAGACUUGACUAACUGAAUUUUGUUUAUAAAAUUCUGCGAAAGCAGAACCAGUUUUAUUCAGACAUAUCCAGGCCAAUCCAGGCAGUUGAGCGUUCAACAUAACCUAAAUUGUAGCGCAUGUGCUAUCUCCAAAACCAAAUCGACAAGCCCAAAUUACAUCAGGUUUGUCCCCAGAAUUUCAAACAAAUGUAUACAUAUGUAUAUAAGUACAUAUGUUCACAAAAGAAAUGGCAGAGAAACUCACUGAUAUGUACAUAUGUAUAAUCAUAUCACAGUCAAAGACAACCAACUAGAACUAAAAUCAUUAAUGGUUAAACAAAUGAAUUGGGCUUACAAGCUAACAUAACAGAUACAGGAUUUUUACAUAUUCUGAGUUUUAGAGAAGAAAUCAAAAGUAAUUUGUCCUCCCAGUUGCAGAUACUAAUAUGAACAAACCAUUAAAUAGCAAUAAAAAUUGACUCCAUACUGGUAUUCAAAGAAAGUUGGAACUAUCAGUUGGAACUAACAAAAUUAUCAUUAAAAUACCAACACCUUUUUCCUCAUGCGUUUCAUACAGAUGAAAGUGAAGAUGACAAAGAUGAUGUACAGCAUCAAUAUACAACCAACGAAGGAAAUAAAAAUCAAUUCAAAGUAAUCAAGAAAGCAAAGCGCAUUGGGUCCAAAGAUAAACUAACAAAAAUAACAGAAGAAACUAUAUGAAAAACUACACUUAUAGUGUAGUUGUUUGUGGAAAAUGCCUUUGGAUCAAUUAACCCUGGGGAAGUAAUGUAGAAUUUUGCAGACAGCUUUAAUGAACUCAGUUAUAUGAUCAAAAACAUUUAUCUUCUUUGAACAGAAAGAACUAUUAGAAAUAAAUGCAGUAAGAUCAUUAAGAAGUUGAACACAAACAAUUUUGAAGAGAAUAACAGCUACGCUAAGAAUGCAGUGAAUUUUACAUCCUAGAAUAAAAUUGUAGAACUCAGAGAAGCCAAAUCUUCUAAAUAACAUACACCAUCAAUUGUAUUAACAUAUAAAUAAUGAAGAAUACAAUUAAGGAAUGCAAACAGAUACCACUUUCACUACAAACAGAUGCAGAUACUAAUUAAUAAAACCAUUCUAGACAUUAUAUGCCUUCAGGCAACUAAUUUCUAAAGGGGAAUAAUAGAUAUUGGUAAUUUUUGGCAACAGUAGUUUUUGUAGGAUAUGUUUCUACAAGUUUUAAGGAGUUCAAAAUACAUCAUGGUUCACCUUGGAGAUGAUGGAAAAGUAAUAAACAUGUCUACUCACUUUUGACUCUCACUAUAUAUCCCCCUCUCCGAAAGGCUCUUGGAUUGUUCGUUGUAAUUAUCGAAUAUCAAGGAUUGGAGGAACUACGAAAUAGACACAAAAUCUCAAAGGAAUCCAAGAAAAUAUUCAAAACCGAUAAAAGCAAAGAAAACAAAUUGAAAUUUAUAAAAACAUCAAACGUAGGGGGCGUGAUAUAGAUCUAAAUGUAACCGUCGCUAAUGACCAAACUGUCGAUGCGACGUUAAACAACUCCUUGAAGAAGGAGAAGAAGAAGAAGAAAGCAAAGAGAGGGAACUUGAAAUUCCUACUGUACGCUGAGACAGAAAACAUUUCACAGGAGUUUUCCUAUUGUUUCCGACCGGAAACUUUUAAACCAGCUCCUGGUGGAAAUAUUACAUCGUUUGACGGUAUGAAAAGUGACGGCUGAAGUGGUACAGCAUGUUGAAAUGGUGCACGGCGGUACGCGAGCAAGACAUUAGCAGCGAUAAAAUUUUACAACUUUGACAACUCUACGGAUGCCAUGAUGAAAUUUAUUAGUAGACCAUCGUUAUAUUGCUGCUGACGGCGCUGCAAGAGCGAAAAAAGCUCUAGCGGUAUAAGCAUAGUGAAUCGGCCCCAGUAACAAUUUCGGUUAUUUAUAGCAUGUAAUGCGUUUUGCUUAAAGAACAACUGUGAGCAAUCGUAACCCCGUACCCCCUCCAUAAGGGAAAUAUGAGGGUAAAAACCCUAAACUUUACUGUUUCUUUCCUUGGAAAUUGUUUAAGAUAUUUGAAUACAUUAAAGUGCAAAUAGUAGGUACUCAUUGCAUUUUAUAUAUACAGGGUGGUCAACAUAUCUUGAGAUAAGUCAAUAUCUUCUAAACAACACAUUGUUGGAAAAAAUGUUGCAGACAAAAGUUGUCAUGUGUCAGGGGUUAAAUUGGAUAGUCGGAAUGGAUUUUUUCAGUGGGUACUCCUGCAGGUCAUAUGAAGUUCAACUUAAUUUUUUAUUAUACUAUCAUAAUCUCUAGGAGAAUAUAGGUAACUUUUGUACGAAAGAUUUUUUCGUGGAUCGUCAACUUCCGGAGAUAAACCAUUAAAUAUUUAAGAGGAUGUGAUGGGUAAAAACACGUACAAGGAGCAUUGUAUUUAUAAUCGCUUUAUAAUUUUUAACAAACAUUUUACCGAUUUUAUGACAUAGAAUUUGCUAAGGACGAAGCGAAAAUUAAAGAUCCUAAAUGCAUGGUAUAAAAACGAAAAAUUACUCUAUUGCCAGCAAUACCCGUAAAACAAUCCUUUACUACAUAACUAUUAGCUAUAAAAGUUUCAAGAGAGUCGGAUUGGUACAACAGGGUUAAAAAAAAGUAAAACUAACGCAACGCCCCUUCAUAAGAGGCAAAGUUAGGCUAAACCGUUAGUGAUGCUCAAAAUCUAACUGACCUACAAGGGAACAAACAAUACCGUUGCAUUGGUCUUGCCACUUUUCUCAUACCAGAAACAGCUCUCAGAAAAACAUGAACCUCUUUCUUCAACUAAACUAUGUGGUUUUUAAAUAAGGAAUUUAGUCCACAGUCAUUUGUUUAAAUAUUAUAUCAACAAUUUAGUAAAGUUUUGUAGGAGCAGAAAAAGGGAGUUUCUCGUUUACCGGACUCGUUACUGCGGCUGACGACAGACGAUCCCUGUCCCAUACACCUAUAAUGACAUUUCUCGGAACUCCUACAUGUCGGUAUCGCAUGCCGGGCGACCGCCAGCGAGAACAGUAUCAUUCCUGUCGCUAUUUGGCUGUCGCCGGCCCGAGUUAAAGGCGUCCGGGGAGACUUAGGCACCCCCCCUUUCACUAAACGCCUACACAUUUUAAUUAAGUUUUCUUACUGAAUGGCAAUCUCCUUUUGCGUAAAGUAUAUACGAAGUGUGGAAUAAAUUAGGGAAUAUAUGGUUUUGAAAUUUUUUUUCACUAUUUCAGAACAGAUACUCUUGAAACUUUUACAGAUAAUAGUUAAGUAGUAAAGGAUUAUUCUUAAUCUUUUCGAUGAGUGUCACUCAAGGGGUUGUUUAUAGAAAUUAUCUUUAAAAACUUAUUUAUUAAUUUUCAAUCCUUAAUUAUCGGAUAUUAAUUUUGGGAAAUAUAUAUGAAAUACAGCUAAUAAGUACCUACUAUUUGCACUUUAAUGUGUUCAAAUACUGUAAACAGUUUCCAAGAAAAAAAUAUAGUAAAGUUUAUGGUAUUUACCCUCAUAUCCCCCUUAUUGG